rnacentral:rRNA from 1 species
GAUUUCUGGUAUAACAUUAUGGCCCGCCUUUUCUUCAUUGGGAGGUGAGUGCUGAAAUGUUUAUACUACAAAUUUUUACAAAUGCGUAGAUCUAUCCUUUACUGGAAUGGAUUUACGGUCAACAUUUGUAAUCAUUUACUUUGAAAAAAUUAGAGUGUUUAAAGCAGGCUUUUAUGCCAUUGAAUACAUUAGCAUGGAAUAAUAAAAUAGGACUUAUGUUCUUAUUUUAUUGGUUUAAGGAACUUAAGUAAUGAUUGAUAGGGAUAGUUGGGGGUGCUAGUAUUAAGCGGCCAGAGGUGAAAUUCUUGGAUUCGCUUAAGACUAACUACUGCGAAAGCAUU